CCCAUUCUAUCAGCUCUUGUGGACAGAGAGCCGUUGAGGAUUCUGCAGAACAUGGCUGUGGUUGAGACACCAUGGCUUUUGGACCUCUCCUGUCAAGUUACCAAUUUGCAGUGGAGAGAUUUUUGGUAUCAUCGACAGAGCAUGACUGAACUACCACACAUAAAUGUGAUGAUGGUUGUGUUUCGAGCCAAGCAACAUUACGGCAAUAUUUGUAAGAUGAACGGUGCCAUCAGUAGAGAGGUUGGUAGGAGGCAUCUUAUCAUCUUUGCCUACAUCUAUUUAGUGGGAGUGAGGAUGAAGCACUCGAUAUGUCUAGCAGUUAGAGGUGGAGGACUGUCAGAGAGAGAAAAAGAUUGUUUCUUUCACUAAGAUAUGAAGAUAGAAGUUAUUGACGGCUAACCCAAAGGGCAAGAAUCGAUUAGAGACCUUAAGGUAUGGAAAUCUGGAUAGCUGGCCAAGUGGACUUCUAAUGGCAGUGGUUGUUAUGGGGUGAGGGGAAGGCAUCAGCGACAGAGGCGGAUAUGGGUCAAAGAUUGCCGCGCGCCGCCCUGCGGUGGUCUCCGGCGAGUGGUGAAGGAGGGUGGAGGAGGACCUGCCUGCUGAUACUGGCCCUGAUCUGCUGCUCCCCGGUGCUCAUCCCCCUGGCCUGCGUCUCCUUCCCCCUGCUCUGCAUCGUCGGGCUCUGUCUCCAGGCCAGGAGGCGGCGGCCGCGGAACUCACCGGGCUGGGAAAGCGGCGGCGCCUCAGUGAUCCUGGGGCUGUGCCAGGAACAGGAGGCGCCGGCGAUGGAGCCGCGACUGCUGCGCCGCUACUUGGAGGACCAGCUGCGGCUCGUCGGAGGAGAACUGCUGGUCUUGGACUGCGACAGCGGCGGGGGACAUUAAGCGUGUGUAGGAAAAAAAGAUCGCUUUUUUCGCUUACUAUUGGAGCUGAAUUGGGCUUUAAUUAGUGUUUGUCGGAGACUUGAAGUGUGUAAACCGAUUCAAUCUUCGUUUGUUUGUUUUGGAUCGAUGGCAAAAAAAACACAGAAAUGUAGAAAGCAGAGAGAAAUGGAUGAAUUCGUUCCUGAAAUCAUCCUUUCUUGCACUACGUUUGAUCUGAUUUGUUCGGCACAGUGCGAGCAAAUCCAAUUCUAGUAAUUCUAUGUAUGAGUGUUCUUGAUAAGAAGGCAUUAUUGUAUUUAGUUUA